GUAUGGGCUUAUUAACUGCCAUCAAACUAUAAGUGAGGACAAGAUUGGUCCCUUAAUCUCGUGGUUUUCUAAACUACAUGUACAUGUAGCUACAAGUAUUUCAAGAUUUGCAAUUUUGUCCUAUCACAGUUUGGCAACAAAACAAUAGGAAUUAGAUUGGGACUAUCUGAAUGACAU